AUACGGAAGGUCCGGGCGUUAUCCGGAUUUAUUGGGUUUAAAGGGAGCGCAGGCGGCCUUUUAAGCGUGACGUGAAAUGUAGGCGCUCAACGUCUGAAUUGCGUCGCGAACUGUUAGGCUUGAGUAGACGGAAUGUCGGCGGAAUUCGUGGUGUAGCGGUGAAAUGCUUAGAUAUCACGAAGAACUCCGAUUGCGAAGGCAGCUGACAGCAGUGUUACUGACGCUCAUGCUCGAAAGUGCGGGUAUCGAACAGGAUUAGAUACCCUGGUAGUCCGCACGGUAAACGAUGGAUGCCCGCUGUUUGCCUUUUUGGUAAGCGGCCAAGCGAAAGCAUUAAGCAUCCCACCUGGGGAGUACGCCGGCAACGGUGAAACUCAAAUGAAUUGACGGGG
rnacentral:rRNA from 1 species